rnacentral:lncRNA from 1 species
GCCCUUAUGGAAGUGUAUUUGAUGGAGCCAUCAGUAUAGAGCUGCUACAAAGAUUUAGUGGAAACAGCAAGUGUGGAAAAUAUUUUCCAUUGACGGAACAGCUAAGCUAACUUUAUAGUUGAGACCUUACCUCUUGCAUUAUCUGACUUCUGGGAUUUAAGCCCUAAUCCUUUUCAUUUUUUUCCUUCCAGUACCUUGUGGCUUGAGGUGCACUUGAUGAACAAGGUUGAACUGGAAUCUUUGAGCAGGAAUCCUCCUAAGCCUGAACACUGCCGAACUGGUGAAGAGUGAAGUGGGAAAUACAUACUUGUGAGCUCUCGGGCUCCUGUGGCUGGCAGACACUGCAACAAGAUCCAGCACAGCCCACAGGACUUUGAACUCAGUUUUCUCUUUGGAACAGCCUCCCCAGAUGAACUCUGAACCUGGAUUUGAUGUUCCACACACGGUUUUGUCACAGCCCAGUGCUGUGCUGCCUGAGUGGCACCGAUGUGCAGUAAAGACCCAGCUGGCUGAGCACUUUCAGGACAAACAGGGAAGACAAUUUACUAUCUGAUUUUACGAGAGCCAUUUGCACUUUGCAGAAUUUUUUAAGCAGCAAAACCCUUAAGAGGCAUGUUCUGAGCCUGGUACCUCGGAGAAUUGCACACACAUUUCCUGUCAGCAGCCGGAGAAUGGUGUCUCACACCUGCUAUGAAGAGAUUGAAAUAUAUUCUUAAUGGCUUGAUUGCUUUGCAUUUCCCUGGAGAUGGGAUGACACACUG